rfam:Leucosporidium creatinivorum strain 62-1032 BCR35scaffold_10, whole genome shotgun sequence.
GCUUCGAUAGCUCAGUGGUAGAGCGGUCGACUGCAGUUUCUUCUGCUCAUCGUCAGGUCACCGGUUCAAACCCGGUUCGAAGCU